rnacentral:rRNA from 1 species
GAUGAACGCUGGCGGCGUGCCUAAUACAUGCAAGUCGAGCGAACAGACGAGGAGCUUGCUCCUCUGACGUUAGCGGCGGACGGGUUAGUAACACGUGGAUAACCUACCUAUAAGACUGGGAUAACUUCGGGAAACCGGAGCUAAUACCGGAUAAUAUAUUGAACCGCAUGGUUCAAUAGUGAAAGACGGUUUUGCUGUCACUUAUAGAUGGAUCCGCGCCGCAUUAGCUAGUUGGUAAGGUAACGGCUUACCAAGGCAACGAUGCGUAGCCGACCUGAGAGGGUGAUCGGCCACACUGGAACUGAGACACGGUCCAGACUCCUACGGGAGGCAGCAGUAGGGAAUCUUCCGCAAUGGGCGCAAGCCUGACGGAGCAACGCCGCGUGAGUGAUGAAGGUCUUCGGAUCGUAAAACUCUGUUAUUAGGGAAGAACAAAUGUGUAAGUAACUAUGCACGUCUUGACGGUACCUAAUCAGAAAGCCACGGCUAACUACGUG